UGGGGAAUAUUGCACAAUGGGCGCAAGCCUGAUGCAGCCAUGCCGCGUGUGUGAAGAAGGCCUUCGGGUUGUAAAGCACUUUCAGCGAGGAGGAAGGUGGUGAGCUUAAUACGCUCAUCAAUUGACGUUACUCGCAGAAGAAGCACCGGCUAACUCCGUGCCAGCAGCCGCGGUAAUACGGAGGGUGCAAGCGUUAAUCGGAAUUACUGGGCGUAAAGCGCACGCAGGCGGUUUGUUAAGUCAGAUGUGAAAUCCCCGGGCUCAACCUGGGAACUGCAUUUGAAACUGGCAAGCUAGAGUCUCGUAGAGGGGGGUAGAAUUCCAGGUGUAGCGGUGAAAUGCGUAGAGAUCUGGAGGAAUACCGGUGGCGAAGGCGGCCCCCUGGACGAAGACUGACGCUCAGGUGCGAAAGCGUGGGGAGCAAACAGAUUAGAUACCCUGGUAGUCCACGCUGUAAAACGAUGUCGAUUUUGGAGGUUGUGCCCCUUGAGGCGUGGNUUCCGGAGCUAACG
rnacentral:rRNA from 1 species